UACGUAGGGGGCAAGCGUUGUCCGGAAUCAUUGGGCGUAAAGAGCGCGUAGGCGGCCCGGUAAGUCCGCUGUGAAAGUCGAGGGCUCAACCCUCGAAUGCCGGCGGAUACUGUCGGGCUAGAGUCCGGAAGAGGCGAGUGGAAUUCCUGGUGUAGCGGUGAAAUGCGCAGAUAUCAGGAGGAACACCUACGGCGAAGGCAGCUCGCUGGGACGGUACUGACGCUGAGGCGCGAAAGCGUGGGGAGCAAACAGG
rnacentral:rRNA from 1 species